UUGCUGAUAAAACAGGUUGCAGUGAUGGCC
rnacentral:piRNA from 1 species